rnacentral:lncRNA from 1 species
CCCGUCGUACACCGCCCAUCACCUCUCCAUUACCGUGUAUAGCCCCUCAUCUCCCCUUUUCUCUUCUUCUUCCUUUCUUCGUUAGCUUGCCGUUUUCCAAAACAUUACUUCUUCUUCUCUCUCUCUCUCUCUCUCUCUCUCUCUCUACAGCAUUAAUGCAGGAGUUGGUGAUCGUGUAGUCCCCAGUGGACUCCAUGCGCCACCCUCACCACGCCCUCCUCUCCGUCGAAUGCAGCGGUUGCGCCGGCUUCAUCACCUCCUCUCAAAACCUUUUGCAUACAAGCAGAUUAUUAACUCGGUGCAUUUUACUGUAUCCUUCACAUGCAUUUUUGGAAGUAUGCUUAUUUUCUAGGUAACUUUCUACAAAUUUAUAUAAACUCGAGCAAUUUGCUAGCAGUUUGUAAAUCUUUUUUCUCUCAAUUGUGCUAAAAAUACAUUGUUAAAGUAUAGAUGAAUUGAUAUUUCCCUGAUUAGAAAAUUACAUGUCUAGAUUACAAUCACAGAUAUGACCAUAACAUUUGCAAUUUCGUUGCAUUUGUACUUUCUUUCGUGAUCAAAUGAGAUCAUUAUGAUACUUUCAUGCUUGAAAAUCAGUUGAAGUGUUUAUUGCUUGUGUUUUUCUUCUUCUUAGCAUAUUACUCUGUUUAUUUCGAUCUUGGAUAAUUGCCUUAAAUUUCUGCUUAGCUUGGUGUUCUAUCGAAGGUAGAUCCACCUAUCUCUUUGUUGCUAAUUAUAGGCUGGUGAUCAUUUAAUACAAAGUGAAAAAGCAUUUAGGCUUAUUUAUUGUUCUAUAAAUUUCUUAUCCUCUUUUAUUUUGCUGACGAGGCUAAAGAUGAAUCCAGGAAGUCGCAGUCUGAGAUUUACCAUGAUGAUGAUGGGAAAGAUAUCGAAGAGCUUCAAUUUCUUAGUUUUCUCUCUUGAUCCCUAUUUAUUAUUUCGGGAUUUAGCAUCAAUUUGCUCUAAUUUAUUUAUUUUGAAUGUGUAUUUCUUCGCAGGAGGAGGACGAUGAUAAAUGGAGUAUAUAAUUUUCCUAUUGACGAAACAGUAUAUGCUAAUGUUAAUUAGCGACCUCAAAAACAUGCUUAUUCCUAAUUUCACUGAUAUGUGAUUAUUCCUAAUUCAUUAGUGCUUAUCUCUAGACUUAACUAGAUGCCUCAACAAAUUUUAGAUUGUGUG